AAGGGCCCCGGGGCUCGCGGGGGGUGCGCAGGGCAGGUAAGGGGGUCGUGCUGAGCAAGGACCGGGGCGGCGGUGGGGCAAGGGUGUAGAGCUGGGGUUCCCAGCGGAGAGCAUGUCCAAGGAGCGGCUGCCGGCGAGGUGAUGCUUCUGCCUGGGCCUACUUGGGACCGGAAGUGAGCGCUCGCGCGGGGAGGAUGCCGGGAAGCAGGUCCCAGGGGAUAUGUGUGUGUCGCUGCAGACCCAUCCCGGAAGCCGGCCGGGAGGUGAGCGUCCCGGAGUCGGGCGGCCGCUCCGUUGACUGCAGGGCCCCGGCGGCUUUCCUCCGCUGUUCCGAGGCCGUUGAGGGCUGAUGUGCCCCAGCCUCCCACUUGUGGUUUGGCAAGCCAUCCAGCCGACUACAAACCCACGUUUACUAUCAAGAUCUCCACUUAGGGAAGUGGGAAUCUUAUUUGCGGAACAUUGGGCAGAAGCUUUGACAUUGGCUGGUGGAGAAGGAGGAGGCAGAAUGUCUGCAUUGUUACACCAUACAGCUCAAACUUCAGAAGACUUUGGGUUAAG
rnacentral:sRNA from 1 species